GAUCAGCUGGUGAAAAGGCAUCACGACACAUUGUGGGGUUCUCCUGUUCAUCACAGGUUAACGUUCUGUGUUAUUCUCAGUUCGAUUCUGGGGCUGGUCA